CAUAGCUAUUUGUUCACUUAAGUUUUUGCAUCGCAGGUUGACAAUUCAGACAAUUCCGUAAUAUUUUAGUGGGGAUUAUUUAUUUUUUGUGGAGGAGCACUACUAAGAUUCAUGUGUUUCGUAAGAAAGACUCAAGAAAACGUCAACCGCUAAGUGGAAUGUUGAUUCACUUUAUAAAGAUUAUGGUAGCUAAAGAACAAUAAUUGUCCCUAAAACAGAUGUCCUCCUAGACUGACAACUGACAAAAUAUGUUUGAAAACAUACAACCUGAAGAAAGUAUAGACGAAUUAGGAGGGAGUGCUGCUUUCGCACCUAUAAUGACAACAUUUUCAAAAAGACCUUCUUUAUUUGGAUAUACAUUGUACUGAUUCGAUGAAAUAAAUCCUUACAAGUUUCUUAUGUUUUUUCUUGUGUUUGGGAAUGACAAAAAAUAAAAACCAGAAUUUUAUAAUUUAUCUUAAUUUAAAAAAAUCCUUCAUCACGGGACUUAAAAUAUUUUCGUUCUUACAAAUAAUAUUCUAUUCUAUAAAAAUGAUCUAUUUUCUUCGAAUAUUAUAUGCAACAUGAAUGCUAUGCAGCAUAAAUGACAUGCAGUAUACAUGCUUUGCAGCUAAAUGCUAUUUGGAAGAAAUGAUAUGCAGAUAAAUGCUUUGCAGCAUAAAUGCUAUGGUUAACGAAUGACAUGGAGUUUUAUUGCUAUUUGGAAGAAAUGAUAUGCAGAUAAAUGCUUUGCAGCAUAAAUGCUAUGGUUAACGAAUGACAUGGAGUUUUAUUGCUAUGCAGAACAAAUGCUACAGUGUAUUGAGAUGAAAAGAUAUGCUUGUAUUGGAAAGUCAUCGCAUUAUUGACGAAAACAUAAUCCAUAAUAACUUUAUGAAUCAGUAUAGAUAUUUACUUUAUAUUAUUAUAACAAUCCUAUAGACCUAUCCUUGGCUCAACUGAUGAUGUGUUUAUCUAUGAACUUCUAUGAUUCUGCAAUUUAGUAUUCAAUAACACUUUAAGUAUUAUCAAUUAGAAAUCAACUUUAAACGUAAAAAAUAUCACUUGAUAUAUAUCAGCAAAGUGAAUUUUGUCCAGUUAGUUUUUUUUUUUUUUUUUUUUUUUUUUCAGAGAGAUGCUUGUCUCCUUUUCUAAAAAUCUGAAAGGCGGAAGCUUUCCCUUCUGUUAUAUUUUGAUUUCAUUUACCGAGGCAAAACUACAAAAAAUUCAAAUUUGUUUUUUUUCUUAUUCUUCAUUCUGAACAAUGAGAUUAUAAAAAAAUACUUUUUUUGGUAUGGCCCGCUAUGUUUAAGAGAAGAAAAAGGAAAUUGAGCAAAUACGCUAUAUUUACUUCUUAUUAGUUUUAUAUCUUCUUUUCUAUCAUAUUUUUCAGCAUGCCCUGAUGGGACGUACGGACCUCUAUGUAAAUCGGUUUGUAGUGAAGGAUGUCUCUCAGUGUGUGAUAAAAAGAACGGAACGUGUGAAAAAUGCAAAAAGGGAUACACGGGGGCAUUCUGUAUUGAUGUUCAUGCAUUUCAACGGCGGAUGACAUCGAUUAUCGAAGUUGCAGGAAUUACCACAAGUGUCGCUUGUUUUAGCAUACUGUUUGCACUUGUUUUGAAAAGGGAGAGAUUAGCUCCUAUGUGAACUGUAAUCCAAUACCGAGCAACGGAAUGCAAGGCUACAAAAUUUGAUGAAACCCCAUUUAAUUUUUAUAAUCAGUCAAAACUCUCCUUUUAUAUUCCUUGUUUGUAAAGUUAGUCAAGUGUAUGUAAUCCCAACUUUUACCACAACUUUUUAAGGAAACAAUGGGAAAUAUUAGCAAAGAGUUUAAUGUUUGAUUGUAUUUUCAUUUGCAUGCAAUAAGAUAGGACUUAUAUUAACUCAUUAUCUUGAGGUACAGUAUAUGUAUUUUCUGUAUUGCUUAGCGUAAAUUCAUUUUCCUUUUAUGUAUGUACCCUCUCUUAAUCUUAAAAAAGUAUUUUACAUUCGUGUUUUUAUGCCUGUGUUAAUAAGUAUAUGAAUAUAAUUUAAUAUUUUGAUAAAUUAAUAUAUUAAUUUGAUUUUUUUUUUCCUUUUACAAAAUUUGUAAACUUUUGGAGUUGUAGAGUAUGUUUUGCCCACCCCUACCCGAUUAUAUAAUUAGUUUAAAUCAUUGUAAAAUUGAUUUUUUUUUCCAAUUGAAAAUUUUACGGGGUGCAGGCAAGAAAUAAAGUAGAAUCACAGAUACUCCUGUUUUGUAAGAAAUGAUGAAUUUUUAUCUGUAAAAGUUCCAUGAAGUAAUUUAUAUGCCUUCGCUUUCAUUAUUUUAAUAAAAAAAUACUUUCUUCACUUAUUUAACCACCUUUUCUAUGUUAAAAUGAAUAUAUAAAAUUGCACAUUAAA